rnacentral:rRNA from 1 species
ACUCAAAUGAAUUGACGGGGGCCCGCACAAGCAGCGGAGCAUGUGGUUUAAUUCGACGCGACGCGAAGAACCUUACCUGGGCUUGACAUGUGAGUGACCGGCGUGGAAACACGCUUUCCCUUCGGGGCACUUUCACAGGUGGUGCAUGGCUGUCGUCAGCUCGUGUCGUGAGAUGUUGGGUUAAGUCCCGCAACGAGCGCAACCCCCGUCGCAUGUUGCCAGCAUUUAGUUGGGGACUCAUGCGAGACUGCCGGUGACAAACCGGAGGAAGGUGGGGAUGACGUCAAGUCCUCAUGCCCCUUAUGUUCAGGGCUACACACGUGCUACAUUGGCGCGUACAAAGGGCUGCGAUACCGUGAGGUGGAGCGAAUCCCGUAAAGCGCGUCUCGGUUCGGAUUGCAGGCUGAAAUUCGCCUGCAUGAAGGCGGAGUUGCUAGUAAUCGCGGAUCAGCAUUGCCGCGGUGAAUACGUUCCCGGGCCUUGUACACACCGCCCGU